rnacentral:rRNA from 1 species
GACGAACGCUGGCGGCGCGCCUAACACAUGCAAGUCGAACGGAGCUUAGAGAGUUUGCUUUUUAAGCUUAGUGGCGAACGGGUGAGUAACGCGUGAGUAACCUGCCCUAGAGUGGGGGACAACAGUUGGAAACGACUGCUAAUACCGCAUAAGCCCACGGUACCGCAUGGUACUGAGGGAAAAGGAUUUAUUCGCUUUAGGAUGGACUCGCGUCCAAUUAGCUAGUUGGUGAGGUAACGGCCCACCAAGGCGACGAUUGGUAGCCGGACUGAGAGGUUGAACGGCCACAUUGGGACUGAGGCACGGCCCAGACUCCUACGGGAGGCAGCAGUGGGGAAUAUUGCACAAUGGAGGAAACUCUGAUGCAGCGACGCCGCGUGAGUGAAGAAGUAAUUCGUUAUGUAAAGCUCUAUCAGCAGGGAAGAUAGUGACGGUACCUGACUAAGAAGCUCCGGCUAAAUACGUG